UACGAAGGGGGCUAGCGUUGCUCGGAAUCACUGGGCGUAAAGCGCACGUAGGCGGAUUGCUAAGUCAGGGGUGAAAUCCUGGAGCUCAACUCCAGAACUGCCUUUGAUACUGGCGACCUUGAGUCCGGGAGAGGUGAGUGGAACUGCGAGUGUAGAGGUGAAAUUCGUAGAUAUUCGCAAGAACACCAGUGGCGAAGGCGGCUUACUGGUCCGGUUCUGACGCUGAGGCGCGAAAGCGUGGGGGAGCAAACAGG
rnacentral:rRNA from 1 species